rnacentral:rRNA from 1 species
GAUGAACGCUGGCGGCGUGCCUAAUACAUGCAAGUCGAGCGAACAGACGAGGAGCUUGCUCCUCUGACGUUAGCGGCGGACGGGUGAGUAACACGUGGAUAACCUACCUAUAAGACUGGGAUAACUUCGGGAAACCGGAGCUAAUACCGGAUAAUAUAUUGAACCGCAUGGUUCAAUAGUGAAAGACGGUUUUGCUGUCACUUAUAGAUGGAUCCGCGCCGCCUUAGCUAGUUGGUAAGGUAACGGCUUACCAAGGCGACGAUGCGUAGCCGACCUGAGAGGGGGAUCGGCCACACUGGAACUGAGACACGGUCCAGACUCCUACGGGAGGCAGCAGUAGGGAAUCUGCCGCAAUGGGCGAAAGCCUGACGGAGCAACGCCGCGGGAGUGAUGAAGGUCUUCGGAUCGUAAAACUCUGUUAUUAGGGAAGAACAAAUGUGUAAGUAACUAUGCACGUCUUGACGGUACCUAAUCAGAAAGCCACGGCUAACUACGUG